GUAGGGAAUUUUGCGCAAUGGGCGAAAGCCUGACGCAGCCAUGCCGCGUGAAUGAUGAAGGUCUUAGGAUUGUAAAAUUCUUUCACCGGGGACGAUAAUGACGGUACCCGGAGAAGAAGCCCCGGCUAACUUCGUGCCAGCAGCCGCGGUAAUACGCAGGGGGCUAGCGUUUCUCGGAAUUACUGGGCGUAAAGGGCGCGUAGGCGGACAGUCUAGUCAGAGGUGAAAGCCCAGGGGUCAACCUUGGAAUUGCCUUUGAUACUGGCUGUCUUGAGUACGGGAGAGGUGAGUGGAACUCCGAGUGUAGAGGUGAAAUUCGUAGAUAUUCGGAAGAACACCAGUGGCGAAGGCGACUCACUGGCCCGUUACUGACGCUGAGGCGCGAAAGCGUGGGGAGCAAACAGGAUUAGAAACCCCAGUAGUCC
rnacentral:rRNA from 1 species